rnacentral:siRNA from 1 species
UUUUGCGGAACGGGUUUAGC